AGCAGCCGCGGUAAUUCCAGCUCCAAUAGCGUAUAUUAAAGUUGUUGCAGUUAAAAGCUCGUAGUUGAAUUUCGGGAUCAAUUAAUUGGUCGUGCCUAUGGUACGUACUGAUUUUAUUGGUUUCUCCCUUCUGACGAACCAUGAUGUCAUUAAUUUGGUGUCGUGGAGAAUCAGGACUGUUACUUUGAAAAAAUUAGAGUGUUUAAAGCAAGCUAACGCUUGAAUACAUUAGCAUGGAAUAAUGAAAUAGGACGUUUGAUCCUAUUUUGUUGGUUUCUAGGAUCGACGUAAUGAUUAAUAGGGAUAGUUGGGGGCAUUAGUAUUCAAUUGUCAGAGGUGAAAUUCUUGGAUUUAUUGAAGACUAACUACUGCGAAAGCAUUUGCCAAGGAUGUUUUCAUUAAUCAAGAACGAAAGUUAGGGAUCGAAGACGAUCAGAUACCGUCGUAGUCUUAACCAUAAACUAUGCCGACUAGGGAUCGGAUGAUGUUAAUUUUUUUAACGUACUCAUUCGGCGCCUUA
rnacentral:misc_RNA from 1 species